rnacentral:rRNA from 1 species
CUUGAGAGCGGCGGACGGGUGAGUAACGCGUAGGAAUCUACCUGGUAGUGGGGGACAACAUUCGGAAACGGAUGCUAAUACCGCAUACGCCCUACGGGGGAAAGGAGGGGAUCUUCGGACCUUUCGCUAUCAGAUGAGCCUGCGUAGGAUUAGCUAGUUGGUGGGGUAAAGGCCCACCAAGGCGACGAUCCUUAGCUGGUCUGAGAGGAUGACCAGCCACACUGGGACUGAGACACGGCCCAGACUCCUACGGGAGGCAGCAGUGGGGAAUAUUGGACAAUGGGGGCAACCCUGAUCCAGCCAUGCCGCGUGUGUGAAGAAGGCCUUCGGGUUGUAAAGCACUUUCAGUGGUGAGGAAAGGGUAACCGCUAAUAUCGGUUAUCUGUGACGUUAGCCACAGAAGAAGCACCGGCUAAUUCCGUGCCAGCAGCCGCGGUAAUACGGAAGGUGCGAGCGUUAAUCGGAAUAACUGGGCGUAAAGCGCGCGUAGGUGGUUGAGUCAGUCAGAUGUGAAAGCCCCGGGCUUAACCUGGGAACUGCACCUGAUACUGCUUAACUAGAGUACGGUAGAGGGCAGUGGAAUUUCCUGUGUAGCGGUGAAAUGCGUAGAUAUAGGAAGGAACACCAGUGGCGAAGGCGACUGCCUGGACUGAUACUGACACUGAGGUGCGAAAGCGUGGGUAGCAAACAGGAUUAGAUACCCUGGUAGUCCACGCCGUAAACGAUGUCGACUAGCCGUUGGGAGACUUGU